AUUGAACGCUGGCGGCAUGCCUUACACAUGCAAGUCGAACGGCAGCACGGGUGCUUGCACCUGGUGGCGAGUGGCGAACGGGUGAGUAAUACAUCGGAACAUGUCCUGUAGUGGGGGAUAGCCCGGCGAAAGCCGGAUUAAUACCGCAUACGAUCUACGGAUGAAAGCGGGGGACCUUCGGGCCUCGCGCUAUAGGGUUGGCCGAUGGCUGAUUAGCUAGUUGGUGGGGUAAAGGCCUACCAAGGCGACGAUCAGUAGCUGGUCUGAGAGGACGACCAGCCACACUGGGACUGAGACACGGCCCAGACUCCUACGGGAGGCAGCAGUGGGGAAUUUUGGACAAUGGGCGAAAGCCUGAUCCAGCAAUGCAGCGUGUGUGAAGAAGGCCUUCGGGUUGUAAAGCACUUUUGUCCGGAAAGAAAUCCUUGGCCCUAAUACGGUCGGGGGAUGACGGUACCGGAAGAAUAAGCACCGGCUAACUACGU
rnacentral:rRNA from 1 species